rnacentral:rRNA from 1 species
UUCCUGGUGUCUAUGACGCAGUGGAACCACUCCGAUCCAUCUCGAACUCGGAAGUGAAACGCUGCAGUGGUGAAGAUACUCGGUGGGUAGCUGCCCGGUAAAAUAGCACGAUGCCAGGUU